AGAACGAACGCUGGCGGCAUGCCUAAUACAUGCAAGUCGAACGAACACUUCGGUGUUAGUGGCGCACGGGUGCGUAACGCGUGGGAAUCUGCCCUUGGGUUCGGAAUAACAGUUGGAAACGACUGCUAAUACCGGAUGAUAUCGAAAGAUCAAAGAUUUAUCGCCCAGGGAUGAGCCCGCGUAGGAUUAGCUAGUUGGUGAGGUAAGGCUCACCAAGGCGACGAUCCGUUAGCUGGUCUGAGAGGAUGAUCAGCCACACGUGGGACUGAGACACGGCCCAG
rnacentral:rRNA from 1 species